UGUUUUUCUCACACCUGGAGGCUCACAAAACUCCCCUCUGUUGCCACAUUCAUGCUCUCACUGCGGCUAAUGGAAAAGUACUUGCUCAGAAGUCACCUCAACAGGAAGGGACUUCUCUGCUGACAGAGAGGAUGCAAGUUAUGAAGCCCUGCUAGGCUCAUUCAUUGCAGUUUAUGAGAAACAGCUGCCUUUCCUUGUAGAGACACUUGUUGAAGGCUUUCCGCUCUGUGGACCCUGAGAAAGAAGAUAGCUGCCAAGAAGGACUCCUGAUGGCUAACUCCACUCAAAUUUAAAAACAGAACCUAGAAGUCAUUUUUAAACAGGGGCCUCUCACACAAACUGCACUUUAGGGAGAAGCCUGCACUGAACUGCCUACACUGUGUUCCUGCCACCUGAGCCAGCCCUUAUAAAGGAGUUCCUGGAAUAAUAGUUCAACCAACAGGAUUGAGGCUUUCCCUAAUCUGAGCUGCAGCAGCUAUAUCCCCAUCAGCUUCUUCACUGACCAGAGUGGCUUUAUUCUGACCAAUCAGGACAGUGUCUAUUGGACCAAACAAACUUCAAGGAUUUGGUGUUCUCAUUUGCAUGGGGAUGGACCAGUCAGGGACUGGGAUGGGGACUUCUGUUUAUAUAAGUCAGCUCCCCUCUGGCUCAGAGACCUCCCUUUCCACUCAAGGCUGUUCACUGCUGGUUUUCAGCUGGAGAUGAAACAUGGAAGAUGAAGCACUUAAAAUGUCUCGCCUUAGCAGAGCGGAGUGGACCAGAGCAGGUGGAGCAGAGCAGAGCCGUCUAGCUGGAGAGGGGCCUGGCCCCAGGGCCACCUUCCAGACAUGCUGUUUCCCAACUGAGCUGUAACAUUGUUGAGCUGUUCCACAGCACGCUGUGUCACAGUUGAGCUGUUUGUACUGAAUAAAGUUUCCCUCCCUCCCUACACCUCAAAUUGGAGAUUCCUGUUGGCGUUGCCAAUGACCACUAGUUGAUCACUCCUUUCCCCCGGAAGUCUAGUAAAUAAGAGGUUGCUGUUUCUUCUGAAAGCUUUCAGGUGGUGAAGGUCAGAAGGAUCAUGCAGAAAGUUGCUCAAGAGCCAUAAAACUCUGGCCUCCAAUGUGACAUGUGACCAGAAUGGUCAAGCCAACACCUGGUGCCUCACUCUCGAUCUUUCAGUUCACAGGAAAGAACUGGCCUUUAGAAGAUAAACCUUCCUAAAAAGUGACAGAAGGAGAAUUUAUGAACUCAAUAUCAUCUGAGCAAUGCCUUACUUUUCUAACUGAGGAAUAUAUGUCAUGUUACAGAAAACCUUAACCACCUCCCACCUUCCCUUUUAAGAGUGAGAAAUGAGUCAGUGUUGCCUUGUAGUAGUUGUAGACUGGAAAUCAUUUUCUCUGUUGUCAACGUGGCUGUUUUUUGCAGAAACAGGUAUUUCUUAGGAGUCAGAUAGUAGCUUUAGUAAUGAAAAGACACAUGCAGGUAUAGGAAGUCACUUCCUGCCUUUAUACCAGAUAGUUGCAUAAGGGCAUUUGCGUAGUAGGUGUGUGUAUGUGGGAAGACCUAAUCAGACUAUAAAUGCAUAUGUUGCCAAAGUUUCUGGGUUAUUAAGCAUAACAGCUUGCAUAAUGAGGCAGAACCUCUGGGGCCUAAAUUGUAAACUAUAAAUUAGGCCUCCCUUGUGGCUGCAUUAAUUCUUUUGAACUAAUAUUAAUAUUCUUUAGUACUGAAUAUAUUACACAGGCCCAAGUUACUUAUUGCAUCUUCUCAAGAAUUUGAUCUUAUAUCCAGUUACUGAUUCCUAAUUUCUCAUUUUAACUCCUCCUUCUCUUUCGGUCUAAUGAAGAGAUAUCGGAUCUUAUCUUUUAUCUAAUGAUCCUUCUAGGGUGCCAGCUACUCUUUUACAUGCAUAAUGUUCCCCAGGUCUGUCCCUCAUACCUCAACUCCUUCUUCUAAAAUCAAACAAGGUUGGUUUUAUAUGAAAGAACCUCUUCUCAAAAAGGCAAUCUAUUGGGCUUUGUUUUGAAUGUUGGUUUAUAUGGUCAUUUGCUUUGCCAUCCCUUUUGUUUUUGCAUUUAAAGUUUCUAGAUGGUAAUAUCUGAUACCAAUAGAAAAGUUCUGCAAAAACGAGGUGAUGAAUGUCAUACAUAUUACUUAUUUGGCUGCCUAAUUAGAAAAGUCAUUUGGCUACCAGUUAGGAGAAAAAUUCCCUAGGCAAAACAACAGUAUUAAGGAUAUAAAUAACAAAUCACCAUCUCCUCUUUCUAAAGCUUACCUCUUAGGUAGACUAUAUCUAGAAACUUAAAAAAAUAUUUAAAACAGCUUUAAGCUUAUUGACCCCAAAUGAAAAUUAUAGUUCCAUAGAGUAUCAGAGGUAGAUAUGAUGUUAGAGACUCAUCUGGCAUUUUCACAUUGGCUUUAUGACUUCCCAUUGCCAUUAGUUCUCACUAUUGAGCAAAAAGAUUAUCUAAACCACAGUUGAGGGUUCUUCUAGUUCUUGGACACUAUGAUGAUCUGGUUGAAGGCAGGUUUUUCUAUUACCAUGUAGACUGCUAGAUUAGUAUUUUCUACAUGGCCCUCUGCAGCAAAUGUGCUGUCUUUAUUACGAAGAGUUAAAUAAUUGAUGAACCUUUGUUGUAAUAUCUAGAAGAAAAUCUUAUGCCCUAUUGAGAACAAACUAGCCCAGCCUAGAGAGUAAGUAUGGUCUAGACUGCAGUAUUGUCAAAUAGAACUUCUGAGAUGAUGGGAAUAUUCUCUAUCUGUACUCUCUAGUAGCAUAGCUACAAGCAACAAAUGGCUACUGAGACUUGACAUGCGGCAAAUGAAAUUGAGAACUAAAUUUUUCACUUUACUUAAUAUCAAAUAAUUUAAACUUAAAUUUAAAUAGCCACAUGUGAUGGUACUGUAUGAGAUAGGACAUGAAUAAAGAGUAUGGAGGCAAAGAGACCUGGGUUUAAAUCAUUGUUUACCUCUUACCAGCUAGUUUUUUUUGGAUCUUCUCUGAGCCUCUGUCACUUAAUUUACAAAAUAGCCAUAAUUAUAUUUACCUUGUAGGUCUUUUGUUGAUUGUGAGAUUGUACAAAGAGCCUAGUACAGUGUGUGGCACAUAAUAGACUAAUAAUAACAGUAAUAUUAAUAAUAGCUAAUAUUUGCUGAGUACUUUUUAGGUGUCAGGAAAGUGCUGGGUGUUUCUCAUAUAUUAUUUCGUUUAAUGUCCACAAAAAUGUAGGCAAUAGAUGCCUUAAUUAUUCCCAUGUAGUAGAGAAGAGAGCAGAAAUCCAAGACAUGUAGCUAAUGAUUUGCAGAGCUAAUAGUCAGUCAGAUUCAGGUGACUGAUUCCAAAGUCUGCAAUUUUAACAACUACAUAUAAAAUAAACAUUUGAUGCCUUGAAAUACUGUCAUCACAUGUAUUUUCAUGUCCUGUGUCUGAAUGUCCAUAACUUAUUCUGUUGCUUAUGAAAGAAAUCUACUAGAUAAAAAAGAAAGCAGGGCAAGCUACAAUUAGGAACACUUUGUCUGAACUUGUUCAAGCAUGGAUGUUUAAAGAUAAGCUUUGGCUUCUAGUCAGGAUUUUAAGUGCAGAAAAAACAUUAUGGGUAGGUUACAUUGCACAACACUGCAACAACAUUGCUAUUCACCUUUUGUGACAUGAACCGAGGCUUAAAAAUCAGCUAGGUUCUUUAGUUUAUGCCACUGUAUUUCAGUGAUCCAUGUCAGUUUGGUUUUACUUAAGGCCAUUAUCACUUUCCAGAGAGUUUUGAAGACCGUGAAGCAAAGAAAUAUAAUAAAGAGAGAUUGAAAA